rnacentral:rRNA from 1 species
UACGAAGGGGGCUAGCGUUGCUCGGAAUCACUGGGCGUAAAGCGCACGUAGGCGGAUUGCUAAGUCAGGGGUGAAAUCCUGGAGCUCAACUCCAGAACUGCCAUUGAUACUGGCGAUCUUGAGUCCGGGAGAGGUGAGUGGAACUGCGAGUGUAGAGGUGAAAUUCGUAGAUAUUCGCAAGAACACCAGUGGCGAAGGCGGCUCACUGGCCCGGUACUGACGCUGAGGUGCGAAAGCGUGGGGAGCAAACAGG